rnacentral:rRNA from 1 species
UACGGAGGGAGCUAGCGUUGUUCGGAAUUGCUGGGCGUAAAGCGCGCGUAGGCGGCUUUGUAAGUUAGAGGUGAAAGCCCGGGGCUCAACCCCGGAACUGCCUUUAAGACUGCAUCGCUUGAAUCCGGGAGAGGUGAGUGGAAUUCCGAGUGUAGAGGUGAAAUUCGUAGAUAUUCGGAAGAACACCAGUGGCGAAGGCGGCUCACUGGACCGGCAUUGACGCUGAGGUGCGAAAGCGUGGGGAGCAAACAGG